ACGGGAGGCAGCAGUGGGGAAUAUUGCACAAUGGGGGAAACCCUGAUGCAGCAACGCCGCGUGAGUGAGGUAGUAUUUCGGUAUGUAAAGCUCUAUCAGCAGGGAAGAUAAUGACGGUACCUGACUAAGAAGCACGGGCUAAAUACGUACCAGCAGCCGCGGUAAUACGUAUGGUGCAAGCGUUAUCCGGAUUUACUGGGUGUAAAGGGUGCGUAGGUGGCAUGGUAAGUCAGAUGUGAAAUACCGGGGCUCAACCCCGGGGCUGCAUUUGAAACUGCCAGGCUGGAGUACAGGAGAGGCAAGCGGAAUUCCUAGUGUAGCGGUGAAAUGCGUAGAUAUUAGGAGGAACACCAGUGGCGAAGGCGGCUUGCUGGACUGUUACUGACACUGAGGCACGAAAGCGUGGGGAGCAAACAGGAUUAGAUACCCUGGUA
rnacentral:rRNA from 1 species